UACGUAGGGACCAAGCGUUGUCCGGAAUCAUUGGGCGUAAAAGCGCGCGUAGGUGGCUUCGUAAGUCCGUUGUGAAAGUCAAAGGCUCAACCUUUGAAAGCCGAUGGAUACUGCUGAGCUAGAGUACGGAAGAGGCGAGUGGAAUUCCUGGUGUAGCGGUGGAAUGCGCAGAUAUCAGGAGGAACACCGAUGGCGAAGGCAGCUCGCUGGGACGGUACUGACGCUGAGGCGCGAAAGCGUGGGGAGCGAACAGG
rnacentral:rRNA from 1 species